rnacentral:rRNA from 1 species
UACGGGGGGGGCAAGCGUUGUUCGGAAUUACUGGGCGUAAAGGGCUCGUAGGUGGCCAACUAAGUCAGACGUGAAAUCCCUCGGCUUAACCGGGGAACUGCGUCUGAUACUGGAUGGCUUGAGUUUGGGAGAGGGACGCGGAAUUCCUGGUGUAGCGGUGAAAUGCGCAGAUAUCAGGAGGAACACCGGUGGCGAAGGCGGUUCUCUGGGCAUUACCUGACGCUGAGGAGCGAAAGUGUGGGGAGCGAACAGG